GCUGAUAAUCUGAUUCAGUGUCGGUCGAACGACUUGGCAAACGGUUGUUCGUCGCUUUUUUGUGUGUGUGUGGUCGGUCCCGGGCAGCGCGCGUUCGAUCACGGUUGAAAUAUAAUAUUAUUGUCCCGUUCUCUUGUGUUUUUGUAUAAUCGCACGUCGUUUUUUUUUAUAUUAUAUCUUCGUCAACGUUGUAAUUAUUAUUAUUAAUGCCUUUUGUCUUACCGACCGCCGAUCCUUAUCACGCGCAUAAGUGUCCCACUGCCGAGACGAAACAACAAUAGCAGUCAUUCUUCGAUUAUAAAAAUUUAAUAUUUGUAAUAAUUCAAAACGUGUACGUUGGCUAGUGUACAAUACACACACGAUAUUUCACGGGACGUACGUGUAGCUGACCGUGUCGGUGAAUUCGCGGACUCUCUGGUCGUCGUCGUCGUCGUCGUCGAUUUUCUCGCACCGUAAAUGAGAACGAAACCAGCCGUGCGCCGGAAUUCGUGGACUAACCGUCACUGACGUACUGUUAUGGCUGUGGUCGGCCCGAGCCGACACUCCAGGGUGUCAAUGUCGCUGAUGCAGGGCUCGACGAACGGUCCAGUCGGCAACCACCAGCAGGCCAGCGCCUCGCAACAGUUUUUCCACGCUCAACAGCAGUCUCACCAUGCCGCACAAUCGGCCACCGCACAUCCGGUAGACUAUAAGCCGGACAGACCUAUUGGAUAUGGCGCCUUUGGAGUAGUCUGGGCUGUCACAGAUCCACGAGACGGACGAAGAGUCGCGUUGAAAAAGCUUCCAAAUGUUUUUCAAUCUCUAGUUUCUUCAAAACGAGUUUUUAGAGAGUUAAAAAUGUUAUGCAAUUUUAAACACGAAAAUGUAUUGUCCGCCCUUGACAUUCUGCAACCGCCUCAUUUGGAUUUCUUUCAAGAAAUAUACGUGAUAACCGAACUAAUGCAGAGCGACUUGCACAAAAUUAUAGUGUCGCCACAGCAGCUGUCGCCGGACCACAUAAAAGUUUUCCUCUAUCAAAUCCUUAGGGGUCUCAAGUAUCUGCAUUCUGCACGAAUAUUGCACAGGGACAUCAAACCAGGAAAUCUGCUCGUCAAUAGUAAUUGUAUUUUAAAGAUAUGUGACUUUGGUCUGGCCAGAGUAGAAGAACCGGACGAGACGAAACACAUGACUCAAGAAGUGGUAACACAAUAUUAUAGGGCGCCGGAAAUAUUGAUGGGAGCCAAACACUACACAUCGGCCAUAGACGUGUGGAGCGUCGGUUGUAUAUUCGCUGAACUCGUCACUCGGCGGAUACUGUUCCAAGGCCAAGACACAGUUCAACAAUUGGAGUUGAUAACGGACUUGCUCGGUACGCCAACCAUGGAAGACAUGGCUCACGCGUGUCCGGCCGCCCGUUCCCACAUGCUCAUACGACGCAUGAAGAAACCGUCCAUGUCGCUAUUGUACUCUCUGUCUUCGUUGAUGACGCACGAGGCGGUUCACUUGAUUUCCCAAAUGCUAGUUUUCAACCCGGAUAAACGGAUGUCCGUUAUGGAUGCGCUAGUCCAUCCUUACAUAGACGAGGGUCGUCUCAGGUAUCACAGCUGCAUGUGCAAAUGCUGUUUCACGGUACCAUUGACGGGUCUCCGGCAUUUCUGUAUGGACUACGAACCGGUUGCGCCACAGACCUUCGACGACAAAUGGGAGAAGAAAAUGUCAAACGUACAACAAGUCAAAGAGGAACUUCAUAAGUUUAUCGGCGAUCAGUUGAGCAGUCACCGUGUGCCAUUGUGCAUAAAUCCCCAGUCGGCGGCAUUUAAAAGUUUCUCAAGGUAAGGCUGUGAGAAACGUCCAACUCUUCUGAACCACCAAAUAAACUACACCUCGACUAACUGUGAUGUUUGAUCGGAGCAGACUGCCUCAAUUCCUUAUAUUUAUAUGUAUUUACAUUGUAUAUAUAUAUUAUAUUAACGUGAUAACCGGAUCUCAAAUUGGGCCCCCCGAGACCGAGACUGAAUGAAUAUAACACAAUGAAAUCGAGACAAGAAGAUUAAACAUAAAAAAAAAAAAUUGUACAUAGUUCUGAAUUUUUAUUUCUUUCUUUUUAUUGUAUGUGUGAGCAAAAUGCUUGAUUUUUACUUAUUUAGACGAUUGAAAGCUCAGUGUCCAACUUUUAUUAUUAUUAUUUUUUUUUUUAGUACGCUUAUUUUCUUAUUAUAAUUAUGAUUUUUUUUUUUUAAUUAUUAUUUUUUUUUUACCGACGAUAAAACCGUUUUUUUCCGAUUCUUAAUGUUUACCAAUAUUACAUGAUAACUUAAAUGUUUAUAAUUAUGAAAAAAUAUAAAUAAUAUUCGUUUUUUAAACCUUACUCGUCCGGUAAUGAUAUUAAAAGCAUACGCACACGGUAAACGCUAUCGGCUUAAAAACCUAGCAUGAGCUUUAAACGGUUAUAAAAUAUUGUUAUGUAUCGGAAAGACGUUUAUUUUUAUUUUUUAAUUAUGUACAAUAUAUUAACGCGUUAAAAGACGAAUACGACAACGCGGUCAUGCGCGUGGAAAAUACUUUUUGUAAAUAACGUACCUAAGUGAUUUUUAUUUUUUUCGUAAUGUAAAUAAUUAUUUGUACAUUUUAAAUGUGUAUAAUAUGUAUGUGAAUCGCACUUAAUUGUCAUGUUCUUUUUCGCGAACCCGAAAAACGACCACGCUGUAUAGUAAUAAUGUCACUAUUUUUAUUUUUUCUCCUCCAUCCAUCUAUGUAUUGUUCAAUCGACGUAAUAUACGUUAUUUUGUAUUCAAAAUACGCCUAAUAACACAAAAUGCAUACAUUCAGAGUGUUAUAGUUUUUAAGUAAUCAUCUGUACGGGUCGGAUUAUAAUAUAAUAUAUUUUAACAACAUAUAUAUUUUAUUAUAUAAUUUCACAGAUUUUUAAAACAUGAUAUUUGUAAUAGCUGUGUGAAUUAUUAUCAUUAUAUUUUUUUCUUUUUUUUUUUUUUUGUUAACAAAUAGAGCGGGUGAUUUAUUAAAUUUUAAUAAUAUA